rnacentral:lncRNA from 1 species
CUGCACGUUUGCAAGGCAAUCCACUUAUGUCCCACCAUUUGCAAGAGCAUUUUUUUUCCUGAAGCUUUACAGCAAAUUUCAGAUUACCCUCAGUGACUUCAAAUUCAUCAUUUCUACAUGGCAAUAACCUACAAUUUUUCCCUUGCUUGAUGAUUGAAUUAAUUGUCUUGCGAGUAUUAGGAGUGAUCUUACCUUCCCAUGAAGUCCCAUUGGUAUAUCUCUUCUGGAGUCUGACCAUGCAUUUUUGUCUAAAUGCAUCUAACAGUUUCACAAUUGGCAACCCUCUAAUUUUUC